GACAGAGGGUGCAACCGUUGUUCGGAUUUACUGGGCGUAAAGAGCGCGCAGGCGGUCGGAUAAGUCGAAUGUGAAAGCCCCCGGCUCAACUGGGGAGGGUCAUUCGAUACUGUUCGACUCGAAGGCAGGAGAGGGAAGUGGAAUUCCCGGUGUAGUGGUGAAAUGCGUAGAUAUCGGGAGGAACACCAGUGGCGAAGGCGACUUCCUGGCCUGUUCUUGACGCUGAGGCGCGAAAGCUAGGGGAGCAAACGGG
rnacentral:rRNA from 1 species